GAUUAAGUUAUUAAGGGCGCACGGUGGAUGCCUUGGCACUAGAAGCCGAUGAAGGACGUUACUAACGACGAUAUGCUUUGGGGAGCUGUAAGUAAGCUUUGAUCCAGAGAUUUCCGAAUGGGGAAACCCAGCAUGAGUUAUGUCAUGUUAUCGAUAUGUGAAUACAUAGCAUAUCAGAAGGCACACCCGGAGAACUGAAACAUCUUAGUACCCGGAGGAAGAGAAAGAAAAUUCGAUUCCCUUAGUAGCGGCGAGCGAAACGGGAAGAGCCCAAACCAACAAGCUUGCUUGUUGGGGUUGUAGGACACUCUAUACGGAGUUACAAAGGACGACAUUAGACGAAUCAUCUGGAAAGAUGAAUCAAAGAAGGUAAUAAUCCUGUAGUCGAAAAUGUUGUCUCUCUUGAGUGGAUCCUGAGUACGACGGAGCACGUGAAAUUCCGUCGGAAUCUGGGAGGACCAUCUCCUAAGGCUAAAUACUCUCUAGUGACCGAUAGUGAACCAGUACCGUGAGGGAAAGGUGAAAAGCACCCCGGAAGGGGAGUGAAAUAGAACCUGAAACCGUGUGCUUACAAGUAGUCAGAGCCCGUUAAUGGGUGAUGGCGUGCCUUUUGUAGAAUGAACCGGCGAGUUACGAUUUGAUGCAAGGUUAAGCAGUAAAUGUGGAGCCGUAGCGAAAGCGAGUCUGAAUAGGGCGUUUAGUAUUUGGUCGUAGACCCGAAACCAGGUGAUCUACCCUUGGUCAGGUUGAAGUUCAGGUAACACUGAAUGGAGGACCGAACCGACUUACGUUGAAAAGUGAGCGGAUGAACUGAGGGUAGCGGAGAAAUUCCAAUCGAACCUGGAGAUAGCUGGUUCUCUCCGAAAUAGCUUUAGGGCUAGCCUCAAGUGAUGAUUAUUGGAGGUAGAGCACUGUUUGGACGAGGGGCCCCUCUCGGGUUACCGAAUUCAGACAAACUCCGAAUGCCAAUUAAUUUAACUUGGGAGUCAGAACAUGGGUGAUAAGGUCCGUGUUCGAAAGGGAAACAGCCCAGACCACCAGCUAAGGUCCCAAAAUAUAUGUUAAGUGGAAAAGGAUGUGGCGUUGCCCAGACAACUAGGAUGUUGGCUUAGAAGCAGCCAUCAUUUAAAGAGUGCGUAAUAGCUCACUAGUCGAGUGACACUGCGCCGAAAAUGUACCGGGGCUAAACAUAUUACCGAAGCUGUGGAUUGUCCUUUGGACAAUGGUAGGAGAGCGUUCUAAGGGCGUUGAAGCAUGAUCGUAAGGACAUGUGGAGCGCUUAGAAGUGAGAAUGCCGGUGUGAGUAGCGAAAGACGGGUGAGAAUCCCGUCCACCGAUUGACUAAGGUUUCCAGAGGAAGGCUCGUCCGCUCUGGGUUAGUCGGGUCCUAAGCUGAGGCCGACAGGCGUAGGCGAUGGAUAACAGGUUGAUAUUCCUGUACCACCUAUAAUCGUUUUAAUCGAUGGGGGGACGCAGUAGGAUAGGCGAAGCGUGCGAUUGGAUUGCACGUCUAAGCAGUAAGGCUGAGUAUUAGGCAAAUCCGGUACUCGUUAAGGCUGAGCUGUGAUGGGGAGAAGACAUUGUGUCUUCGAGUCGUUGAUUUCACACUGCCGAGAAAAGCCUCUAGAUAGAAAAUAGGUGCCCGUACCGCAAACCGACACAGGUAGUCAAGAUGAGAAUUCUAAGGUGAGCGAGCGAACUCUCGUUAAGGAACUCGGCAAAAUGACCCCGUAACUUCGGGAGAAGGGGUGCUCUUUAGGGUUAACGCCCAGAAGAGCCGCAGUGAAUAGGCCCAAGCGACUGUUUAUCAAAAACACAGGUCUCUGCUAAACCGUAAGGUGAUGUAUAGGGGCUGACGCCUGCCCGGUGCUGGAAGGUUAAGAGGAGUGGUUAGCUUCUGCGAAGCUACGAAUCGAAGCCCCAGUAAACGGCGGCCGUAACUAUAACGGUCCUAAGGUAGCGAAAUUCCUUGUCGGGUAAGUUCCGACCCGCACGAAAGGCGUAACGAUUUGGGCACUGUCUCAACGAGAGACUCGGUGAAAUCAUAGUACCUGUGAAGAUGCAGGUUACCCGCGACAGGACGGAAAGACCCCGUGGAGCUUUACUGUAGCCUGAUAUUGAAAUUCGGCACAGCUUGUACAGGAUAGGUAGGAGCCUUUGAAACGUGAGCGCUAGCUUACGUGGAGGCGCUGGUGGGAUACUACCCUAGCUGUGUUGGCUUUCUAACCCGCACCACUUAUCGUGGUGGGAGACAGUGUCAGGCGGGCAGUUUGACUGGGGCGGUCGCCUCCUAAAAGGUAACGGAGGCGCUCAAAGGUUCCCUCAGAAUGGUUGGAAAUCAUUCAUAGAGUGUAAAGGCAUAAGGGAGCUUGACUGCGAGACCUACAAGUCGAGCAGGGUCGAAAGACGGACUUAGUGAUCCGGUGGUUCCGCAUGGAAGGGCCAUCGCUCAACGGAUAAAAGCUACCCCGGGGAUAACAGGCUUAUCUCCCCCAAGAGUUCACAUCGACGGGGAGGUUUGGCACCUCGAUGUCGGCUCAUCGCAUCCUGGGGCUGUAGUCGGUCCCAAGGGUUGGGCUGUUCGCCCAUUAAAGCGGUACGCGAGCUGGGUUCAGAACGUCGUGAGACAGUUCGGUCCCUAUCCGUCGUGGGCGUAGGAAAUUUGAGAGGAGCUGUCCUUAGUACGAGAGGACCGGGAUGGACAUACCUCUGGUGUACCAGUUGUCGUGCCAACGGCAUAGCUGGGUAGCUAUGUGUGGACGGGAUAAGUGCUGAAAGCAUCUAAGCAUGAAGCCCCCCUCAAGAUGAGAUUUCCCAACUUCGGUUAUAAGAUCCCUUAAAGAUGAUGAGGUUAAUAGGUUCGAGGUGGAAGCAUGGUGACAUGUGUAGCUGACGAAUACUAAUCGAUCGAAGACUUAAUCAA
rnacentral:rRNA from 1 species